UCUAGCGGAUGAUCCAGCUGACCCUUCUUCUCCGACUGAGCAUCCUUCAACAAAGCAGCCUGACGAGCCUCCUACCGACGCUGUUCCUACUGACCCACCAGCUCCUGCAGGUGACACUACUUCCAACCCUCAGCGAGCAGCCACUCCUCCACCACAGACUAGCCAGCGCCCUGAUAUUCCUGAUGAUGCACCUCUUUUCCCUCCGGAGCUAUAGUCAGGGCAGUAUUAGUUCUUUUUCCUUUUUCUUUUCUUAUAUUGGUUUUCUUUUACACAGGGACAGUGUGUCCUUCAAGUGUGGG
rnacentral:lncRNA from 1 species